UACGUAGGGGGCAAGCGUUGUCCGGAUUUAUUGGGCGUAAAGAGCGUGUAGGCGGCCAUACAGGUCCGUUGUGAAAACUGGAGGCUUAACCUCCAGACGUCGAUGGAAACCGUAUGGCUAGAGUCCGGAAGAGGAGAGUGGAACUCCGAGUGUAGAGGUGAAAUUCGUAGAUAUUCGGAAGAACACCAGUGGCGAAGGCGGCUCACUGGUCCGGUACUGACGCUGAUGUGCGAAAGCGUGGGGAGCAAACAGG
rnacentral:rRNA from 1 species